GCCAGAUGUCGAAGGUUUCGUCUCCUGGUGGCGGCGCCCUCACCCUGGGCACCAAGCGCCCUCCCGGCGCACCCGGACUCGGCAGGGGCCGAGAGUUACUCGUCCCCAUCGCAGGGGCCCUUGCCGUGUUCGUCAUCCUGUACGGACUCGGCUGCUUCAGGUGAGCUUGCUGCACCUUCACUUGUUGCUGAGGGGAGAGGCGCGAGAGAAAGGGAGGGUGUUCGUUUGCUCUGAAAUGAAUUUGGCUUGUUGGUGAUGGCAUCCACGGUAAUUUUGUUAGUCUUCUCGUUCUGUUUACGCUUCUUGGUGCGACUUUGAGGAAACAACAAUUCCCUCCAAGAUGGAGUUGUUUCAGUGGUAGAUAGGCGAUUAAUAUAUGUUAGAGUGGGUUGUGAUGUUCGUCAGCCACAUGCAUAGAUUCAGUCUUUGCUUUAGCCUUUGUGCGUUUCACACGGUCACGCCUACAAAAAUAAUAAUGGUUAGAACGAGAACUAGCAACAGUAAAUCUAAUGGAAGGAAUAAUGUCACAGUUUGAAACCCUGAAAAAAAGAACGCCCGUGGCAAGCGUUUGUCUCUAUAAAUAAGUUAUCAAGCCAGUUUAUUUAUACAAUGACUCAAUGGAUUUUGCUAAAAAAAUGGACAUCAGAAAGAUUAAAGUUGAGAAAGAGGAAAGGAUGUCAUAGGCCUGGUACUUUAUGCUAUUGGUAAAACAGAAUCAAGUUAUACAAAUCAAGCAUCAUAUGGUGAAGGAACAAUACCAGUCGCCUUUAAGGGGAACUAAGUUACUAGCAUUUUCCUUAGCUUCUCCACUACCUAUUUGACAAGCUGUUUCAAAAUGGACAUGCUGCCAUCCUUCUUUGACUGCUUCAGUAAUUGCAUCUCUAAAAGCGAGUGUUUCAGCUGUCAGGGGAUUUUGAAUAUUGUCGUAUCCCCUUGCAGCAGCUAGCACAAACUCACCAUCAGAUAUUCUUGCCACGACGCCGGUAGCAGCAUGAGUAGAUCCUGCAUCAUAGGCUGCAUCAAAGUUAAUUUUUGUGACCCCACUAAUAGGAGCAGACCACUUUGCAUUUUUUCCCAGCAGUGGGUUUCGAGCUUUCACAGUAAUCAAACAUGUUUGAUGAACAACCUCUUUAACCCAAAUUCCAAGAUGUCGAUGGUAGAGGCUAGGGUUCUACCAGGUCUCGGAUGAAGGUUGUAGGGGUGGAAGUGAGGGCGGAGGAGUUGGGGGCGCUGGCGCCGGCGAUGCGCCGUCGCUGCGCGGGUGAGGAGGAGGCGGCGCUAGGGCAGGAGGCGGCUAGGGUUUGGGGUCUCCCGUCUCCCUCAAGGAGACGACAGUUUAAUACUGUUUAUUGUCUGAUUAAUCACGAAGGGGUACAUAUGUUUAUAUAGGAGGACAGCCUCCUCUAAACCCUAGAUAACUUGGGCUAAGCCCAUAACUAGCCACUAGUGGGCUUCUUACGGCUAUACGUAAGACUGACCAUAACAUCUCUCCCCGCCUUCUCAAACAGCUCGUCCUCGAGCUGAACUUCUGGAAACUGCUGGCAGAAAUCAUCAAGCUUCUCCCAAGUCGCUUCUUCCUCCGGCAUGCCUGUCCAAUGCACCAAGACGUGCCACACACCGCGGCGCUGCUGCGCCUGCAUCACUCGGGCCACAGUCGCAGGAGCGGGCGCGAGACGUCCAUCCGAAGUAGGAGGAAGAGCUGGUGGCGCAGUAGGCGGGUCGCCAUGGUAGGCCUUCAGGAGGCCCACGUUGAAGACGUCAUGGAGGCGAGACCCCGGAGGUAGCUCAAGGCGGUAGGCGAGCGUGCCAACACGCUCCAGCACACGAAAGGGGCCGGCGUAGCGAGGCCCCAACUUGCGCUUGGAGCGCGGGUCCAAAGACUGGGCCGUCCUGUGGAGGAGGCGCAACCACACCCAGUCGCCCAUCGCGAACUCCGCCUCGCGAUGAUGCGCAUCAUAGUACGUCCGAGCCAGCUACUGUGCCUGAAGGAGUCGCUGGCGCGCCUCGGCCAGUAUCUCGUCGCGGGUACGGAGCAAGUCGUCCGCCGUGUCAGUCCGCGCCGUGCCAGGCGCAUAUGGAAGCAUCGCCAGAGGUGGCCGCACAUAGACCACUUCGAAGGGCGUGGUGUGCACGCGGAGUGAUAGGAAGUGUUGUAGCAGUACUCCGCCCAUGCCAGCCAGUCCACCCAAGCUCGUGGACGAUCUCCAGUAAUGCAGCGCAGGUACAUGGCGAUGAUCUUGUUGACGACCUCGGACUGGCCGUCCGUCUGGGGAUGAAACGCCGUGCUCAUGCGGAGCUUCACGCCCGCCAACCCAAAGAGAUCCCGCCAGACGUGGCCCGUGAACACAGGGUCACGGUCACUGACGAUGGAAGACGGGAAGCCGUGGAGGCGGACGAUGCCGUCGAAGAAGGCGGGUGCCACCGAAGCAGUUGUGUAGGGAUGACGGAGGACGAUGAAGUGCACGUACUUGGAGAAGCGAUCAACCACCGUGAGGAUGACGGACUUGCCGCCAACCUUCGGCAGCCCCUCAAUGAAGUCCAUGGAGAUGUCCGCCCACACCUGGGAGGGCACGUCCAGCGGCUGCAGUAGACCCGCCGGCCUGAGUGUCUUCGUCUUGUUCCGCUGGCACGUCACACACGACCGCAACCAGUCGCGCACCAGGGCGCCAUCCCCAGGUAUGUAAAAAUCAGCGCGGAGACGGUGAAGGGUCUUCUGCACGCCCUCGUGUCCUGCAGAGUGCGCCAAGGCCAAGGCCUGGUGGCGCAGGUCGCCAUGAUCAGGCACGAAGAUGCGGCGGCCAUGGAGGAGCAGGCCCUCGUCCAGGCGCCACGGCGCAGCCAGCUCGCCGUUGGCCAGGCGCUGGCGCAGCUGCUGCGCGUCCGCGGCCGUCGAAGUAGCGCGGUGGAUGUCGUCGAUGAAGGCGAAGGACGGCCCGGAGUGGAUGCAGAAGACCGCGCCUACUGUGGGGGCGUCGGUCACGUCGUUGGCGUCACGGCGGGACAGGGCGUCGGCGACCGUGUUGAGGCGACCGGGGCGGUACUCGACGGUGAAGUCGAAGCCGAAGAGCUUGCUGAUCCACUCAUGCUGCGGCACGGUGGAGAGGCGCUGAUCCAGCAAGAACUUCAGGCUGUAGUGGUCCGUGCGCACACGGAAUGUCCGGCCCCAAAGAUAAGGCCGCCAGUGGCGCACCGCCUGGACCAGCCCGAUCAGCUCACGCUCAUAGGCGGCGAGCUUGUGAUGACGCGCGGCGAAGGGACGGCUGAAGAAGGCCAGCGGCCCCUCGCCCUGGUGGAGGACGGCGCCGCAGCCGAUGCCGGAGGCGUCGCAGUCCACCAUGAACGGCACGUCGAAGUCCGGCAUCUGGAGGACGGGGCCCGUCGUGAGCGCCCGCUGUAGGGCGGCGAACGCCGUAGGCGCCUCCUUGUCCCUCGCCCUGGUGGAGGACGGCGCCGCAGCCGAUGCCGGAGGCGUCGCAGUCCACCAUGAACGGCACGUCGAAGUCCGGCAUCUGGAGGACGGGGCCCGUCGUGAGCGCCCGCUGUAGGGCGGCGAACGCCGUAGGCGCCUCCUUGUCCCUAGAGAAGGCGUCGCGGCGAAGGAGGCGCGUGAGGGGCGCAACGAUGAGGCCGAAGUCCUGGAUGUACUUCCGGUAGUACCCCGCGAGGCCCAAGAAACCGCGAAGAGCCCGCGGCGACUGCGGAGUCGGCCACGCGGCGACAACAGCGACCUUGUCCGCGUCCAUCGCGACACCGUCCGUCGAGAUGACGUGGCCCAGGUACGCGACGGAGGUCGUGCCAAACGAGCACUUCGAGCGCUUGAGAUGAAGAUGAUGCGCUCGAAGCUCGUUGAAGAUGAUGGCCACGUGCUGCAGGUGCUCCGCCCAGGAUGCGCUGUAGAUAAGAAUAUCAUCAAAGAGAACAAGCACAAAGCGGCGUAAGUAGGGGCUGAGCACGUCGUUCAUCAGGGCCUGAAAAGUCGCCGACGCGUUGGAGAGGCCGAACGGCAUCACCAAGAACUCAAAGUGGCCAUGGUGAGUGCGGAACGCCGUCUUCGCGAUGUCGUCCGGGUGCAUCCGCACCUGAUGAUAGCCCGAGCGCAAGUCGAGCUUGGUGAAGAAGCGCACGCCGUGUAGCUCGUCCAGGAGCUCAUCCACUACGGGGAUGGGGAACUUGUCCUUGGACGUCAUGGUGUUGAGGGCGCGGAAGUCGAUGCAGAAGCGCCACGUGCCAUCGGCCUUGCGCACAAGGAGCACCGGAGCGGAGAACGGUGAAGUCGAAAUCCGGAUGAUGCCCUGCGCGAGCAUGACCGCCACCUGACGCUCGAGCUCGUCCUUCUGCAGGUGGGGGUACCGGUACGGACGAACGGCGACAGGCGCCAUGUUCGGCAGCAGGUGGAUGCGGUGGUCACAUGGCCGCGAGGGAGGGAGGCCCUGUGGCUCGUCGAAGAUGUCGCUGUGCUGCUGCAGUAGGUCGGCCAGGAGGGGGUGCACCUCGCCGAGGGCGGCGACCAUCAGGUGGAGCUGUAGAGAUGCGCCGGUGCUGCCAAGGCCCGUCCAGUGCACGCGGUGGCCGCCCUCGCGCCAGAAGAUGAGGGACAACACGUCGAGGUCCCACAGUAUGGGGCCUAAUGUGCUCAGGAAGUCGAGGCCGAGGAUGAAGUCGUAGCAGCCCAAGUCGAUGCUGACGCGAUCGAUGGAGAAAGGCUCGUCGCCGAUGAGGACGGGGACCUGUCGUGCCACGCCCUGGCACGUAAGACGGUCCCCGUUGGCGACGUGACGCUGUACCGCUCCGCGCCCGCCGGCUGGAGGGUAAGGCGGCGCAUGUCGGUGUUGGACAAGAAGUUGUGCGUCGAGCCCGUGUCCACGAGUGUAGUAAGGCGCUCCCCAUUGAUCGUCACCGGGAGCAGCAUCGUCUUCGCCGUCUUGAUGCCCGCCAUGGCAUGAAGAGAGACGACGAAGGCGGACGCGUCGACCGGCGCGUAGGUCGUGACACCAGCCUCAGUGAUGGUGGCGGCCGCGAGCUCCGCAGUGAGGGCCUCCACCUCGGCUUCGUCGACGGUCUCCAGGUAGAAGAGGCGGGCACACGUGUGACCCGGCGCAUACUGCUCGUCGCAGUUGAAGCACAGGCCUUUGCGGCGCCGAUCGAGCUGCUCAGCGGACGUCAGGCGCUUGAAGGGACGUGUUGUCGCGGGGGUGGCCGCUGGCGUGGCUGGGAGGGCGGUGCGCGGCGGGGCGGUUGGCGCCGGGGCGGACCGAGGCCGUUGGCGUGGCUGGGAGGGCGGGGCGUGGGGUUGUUGGCGAGUCUGAUUCCUGCCUCGCGGUAGGAGUGGUCGUUGCAGUGUGGUCGAAGGUUCGCUUUGCCCUAGGCAGGAGGGACAAAGAGCAAACGGGGAGGCCCUAGGUGUCUCGGGGUCGUUGGUGCUAGGCGUGGAGGACGAUUUUGUUGGCGUGGGGGCCAAGAUGUCUCCGUCUCUUGCUGGGCUCCUUGUCCGAGAGCGCUUUUUGGCGCUUUUCCCGUUUUCUUUUUUGGCACGGUGACAAGGGCGACAGGCCCCACGCUAUCCAAGCCAUGGGUCCAUCUAACUUUCCAUGCUCGUUCCACGGCGGCCACGACGCAUGUUUGAGCCGCCGUCGAUAAUAGCCACUUCGGCCACCCCAUCGGGGGGAGGGGGGCUAGCCUUGUCCACCCAGGGGUGUCCAAGGACAUGCCAUUGGGGGCGCCAGUGCGACGCUUCUUGUGUCCCCGGCGACGCGUGCGGCUUGAAUCCACAGGAUCAUCACCAGACCGGCCUCGCCACUAGCGUCUCCGCUAACAUCGUUGCGGUCAUCAGCAGGUGCUGCUUGGAUCACCAUGUCUUGCAGGGAAAUGGAGCCGACGACGCGGAUGUUGACUAGGUACGUCAGAGUGUUGCUAGGGCAGGGAUCAGCUCCAUGAUAUCCAAGACAAUGCGAGCUCGCGUCUGCUCGCCGGGUCGCUGGUGCGUGUUAUCAACCGGAAGACUUCGAGAUUGGCUCGCGAGCACAUGUCUGGGUGUAGUUGCUCGAACGAGCAGCCUGCGCCAAGGAGGUGCUCGGCCAUGUAAACAUGUCAUGCAUGGGCAGGGAUGCCACAAAGCUCAAGCUCGACACGGUGAUCCAACCUGUUCUGGUUGGCGUGCGCUAGCCUGCCAAGGCCGGAGAGAGAAGGUGAAACUCGGGUCGCUGAUGAAGUGUUCGCCGGUGAGGCGGCCAUGCGCGGGCUUGGAGUUGAAGAGGAUGAGGAAGUCCUUUGGGUUGUGGAUGUGGCCGGAGAAAUCGCCAGGGAGGAGCUCUAGGGAGUUAUCGAGGACUAUCUCCACCUGCUCCAUGGACACCGUCGGCCUGGUACCCAUGAUAGAGACGAUCAUGGCGUGCUGCAGGACCCUCUCGGUCUCCUCGAUCUCGAUGGAGCCGGACACGAUGACCCGUGCUGGCUGAGGGGGCAAAGGUGAUAGAGGAGUGUUGCGUGCAGCCUGCUGCAUGGCAGUGGUGUCGUCGUUCCCUGCACCAGUACGCGAGCUUCGGUGCGGUCCUGGGCAUGCGUCUUCGGCGUGCAAUCUCGAGAGCGAUGGCCUGAGAGUAGGCAGCAACGACACAUGGUUUUGUUAGGGCAGCCACGUGUUGGAUGGCCAUGCUCGUGGCAGUGGAAACAGAGGCUUUUCUCCUCAUCUAGUGUGGGGCUGCAAUAGCUUGGAUGGGCCUCGUCAGCGCGUCGAGGGCGGCGCUGUUGGUGGCUUUUGCGCCUGGGCCUCUCGUAGCCAUCGGCGUCUGGCCCGCGAGGUGUGUCGCUGUGGACCUCAGAGCGGGGGCUGAGGCAGGUGGAGGUGUGGGCAUGACGAGGGUUGGGUGCCACGACCGCGGGCUAAUGCAACGGCGACGAGGCUGGGGAGGGGCGCAAGGUAGGGAGCGGGCAAGCUCGCUGUAGCCGCGCGAGGCUGAGCUGGAAGACCCGUCCUCGGUGGCCAGCCAGCGAUCCUCGCGGCGGUGGUGGUCGCCACAACUGCCGUUGGAGGACAUUGCGCCGGGGAGGGGAGGGCUACCGACGGGGUUUCGACGAAGCUAGAGGUAGGGGGCUAGGGUUAGGGCUCGAGGAGGUGGGAGCGGACCACGUUCUUUCGUUUUCUUUCCAUGUUUUCUAUCGCGGAAGCUAUGCUGAUUCGAGCCUGUUUACAUCCCAGCGAUCCCCUUCCUAACUUAUAGGCAGCUGAUUGGGUGAUGCAUGUUUUAGCGUUGUUCUAGUGAUGCUUCCCUAUUGUUCUGCAUUAAAUUGUCAUAUGGAUAUGUUUUUCUGUGCAACCAUAUAGCAAUUUUAAGUAGAUUUUGCUAGAGGCUACUUUCAUCACUAGUGGUAGCCAACUUAUCAUAUUAAGUAACUUAAAUUUGACAGACAUUGAGUUGCCGAUGAUGGAAGAACUUAUUUUCGCAACUGGUCGUGAUAGUUACUCCCUCCGUCCCAAAAAAGAUGUCUCAGAUUUGUCAAAAUUUGGAUGAAUCUAUACACUAAUUGUGUCUAAUACAUCCAAAUUUAGACAACUUUGCGACAUCUUUUUUGGUACAGAGGGAGUAUAAACUUACCGUUACCUCAUUCAACUAGUAGAUGUAGGUUGGGAGGUUUGGGUUAUAUUACGCACUUGAACAAUCCUUGUUGAUUGUUUCACCUUCCUUAAUGUUUCACAUUCAUGCACCAACUAAUGAAUGAAUAGAAAUGUGCUGAGUGAUUCUCAGGAUAUCUUUGCGCGAUCUUGUUCCUUUCAGAAACAGAAUUUAGUUGGUGAUUAUCCCUUUUGGUUGAAUCAACUGUGCUUCCCUUGUUGGCUUGUUGGGGCUUAUAUCACAUCACUUCCUUUCUAAUACUACACGACACAGUAUUGUAAGCAGCAAAUGUGCAUAUAACAGCGCCUUAUUGACUGUUUGCAUGCUUCGAGUUUGAUAAUUAUUGGGGCGAAAUUAUUAUUGUGUGACAAUGAUGAGCUGUUGCUUGUAAGAUGUUUGUGAGCCUAGGAGUAAUAAUUGUUGGAGUAUGUUGCUAGUAAGAUCAGUAGUUCAUCUAUAUAUUUCGAAAUGACCAUGUAUACCUGGAGCAGUUUGUAGAAUUAUGACUGGAUGAUCUUAAAUUAAGUGGGAUUGACUAAUAAAUGUUUGUCUGUUUCCUUGAUAAGCAAAUUUUAAGUUGUGUUCUCAAUUAUUUUUGUCAGGCUGCACUGAUGCUACCAAGACUAACAACCAUUAUAUAACUUUUAGAAUUAUAUAGCUCGAAAAAACAUGAGCUUUAUCAAAUACAUGCCCUGCUAUUAUUAAUUGCUUGUGCUGUACCCUUGAAGGAAGGGACGCCGCCGCAGAGCACGCCAUGGGGGCAGGAGGUUUGGCCGUGGCGGCCAGUGAAGACUUGUCAGGUAAAUUGCUGAUUUUGCUUACAUGUGCCGUAGUUGCAAUUUGUGGAUGGCGCUGAUUUUUUUUUGCAUAGUUGUGUCGGGUGCGGUGUAGUUUAAUUGCAACAAUUAAUUAGAUGACUACUUGGUGAUCUAGAACCAGUAACUGAAGACAUGUUUUAUGCGAGGCUUAACAGUUUAUUUCAAAAUAUAUUUUUCAUUCCUACAAUACAUGAUUUUCUGUUCAUUUGAAGCAUUAGUGAGGCGACUAAUACAUCUAAUUACAUAAUUAGCCUGCAAUAUUUCGGAUGAUGUUUGUCGUUUAUCUCUGUUUACUUGUGUAUCUAAGAGUGUUCAUGUGUCAGGAAAAUUAUGAGUCAGUUGAGAGUAGUCCAUUUUUUGUAGCUUUUGAUCCUAGUCUACUUUUGGCCUGUUAUUCUUCUUUUAUAGAGGCCACGAUGGGCUUUGGUUUGCGGAAAACAUUUAUUUUGUUCUCAUAUAUAGUUAAAAACAGUGGCAGACCAAGGAUUCGGGUACGACCAGGGCUAAAUCCUACUGGCAAAAAAGUAAAAAUCCUAAAAGUAAAAAAAAACAUACCAUGUCAUCUUAAUUGACACUAUAUUACAUUCGAUCAUAUGAUAUUUUUAAAAAUUCUUUCUGAAAUCUCAUAGUAUGGUUUGUUGCUAAUUUCAUAGAAAAAUUGUGACCAACUGGUUAGCGCAGAAUUAAUAGAAAAUACUCCCACCUACAAGUAUUUCAAAUAUUAAAACGUAUCUCUUCAACUGGCUUGUGAAGGCUACUAUCUGCGAGAAUGUCAUCUAGAUUAAACUCAACACCAGGAUUCCUGAUUGACCACAAUGAUUAGGAUGUCUUGUUGUGGCUGAGUGUCUAGUUGGCCCAACCAACCAUCUGGUUUCUGUCCACAUCUAUUUGGAAUACCUGAGCCCAGAAUUGGCGAAUUGUGAAGCUGAUGAAACUAAGAUGACAUUUGUCGUGAUUAGAAAGAUUCUAACAUCUUUGCUCAAUUCAUUUUCUAUGUCUAUGUUGUCAGAUUGAAUAAAACCAGUUAAUCAAAGUGUCUAACCCCUAAUAUCAGUAUUUGGAAAUAGUAAUCAAAUAAGAGGAAACGAUUGGAAAGGCAAACAAUUACCUAAAAACCAAGAGCACCAAAUAAGACACCAGCCGCCCGUUGGAGGCGACGAGCCCAUAAUUCCAGCGGAACGCCGGAGUGUGGGACGGAGGCAACGGGCGUGGGGCUGCGCAGUGCGCUGUGAACAAAUUAAUUGACAACCUGGUUGUUGUUAGCCCUUGGCCUUCCGACUCCUUAACACGGGUUAAACUCCUGCGAAUUGCAAUUUUCAGUAAAAAAUCUGAAUGGGUUACCAGUACUACACGGGCCCAGACCAGGGCUGCAGCCCUGGCUGCUGGGUACACAGUUCCGCACCUGGUUAAAAUUACACUGACAAUAGCCCAUACCGUCUACUAUCUAGGUCGGAUACUCUGACUGCUAGUUUCUUAAUCUGUGCAAGUUUCAGUUGCUGUAUUGAUACUUCAUGCCAAAAUGAAACUCCAUGUGUCUAGUUGCUUUUAUUUGCCUCAUAGGCCCAAAACUUCCAACUGACAAGUUUUUUUUAAUCUUCUUAACUGGACAGGUAUGCGUGAACCCGAGUUUUGAAGGAAGACUUUUACUAUUUUGGAAGAGUCAAUUAAUGAUAGAGGUGGUAAUUUUGUGGAUGCAGUGGUGUAAUCCAACGGUUGAGAUGCAAUGAUUAAUUAACUUGUCCUAAAAACAAUUAAGCAACUUGUAUGAGAAUUAUGGGACGCGUGGCUCCUCUGGGGACUAUAUAACCAGGGAGAGUGGGAGGAUGGGUGGCACGCUACCAAAAACCCUAUUUUCUUUGUCUUGUCUAUUUUCCUGCUUUGCCUUGUUCUUUAGCUUUUCUUUUUUUCCCAGCAAGAUAUCACUGUUUGGGCCUGAACCGCUAGGCGCUAGCUGCCCAGCUCAAUCCUAGCAGCGGAGACUGCCACGGGGCCGGCCCUGAGGGAGGGCGAUGGCCUGGGCCCCCGAAACCAACUGGGGCGUAUGCAGUGAGGUGGCGGCGCCAUUAGAUGCAAAUUUGUCUGUCGUGCUGUUGGAGACGAUGGAGGAAGCUGGAAUCUGGAAUCGUUACAUCUUACUAAUGGGCUGAAACUUGGCCCUUUUUUCCUAGCAUGGGCUGUUUCUCCUUUUGUUGGCAAGGAGGGCAACGAGGAGUGGGGCCUAUGGGACAGACACAAGAGCGAUCCAGGAAUUUCAGCACAAAAUUGAUGUAUUUUCUUCGGCUCAAAAACCAAUGGAGGCAUUUCUCGUUCCAUUUCUCUAAAAACAAUUCAAACCAAUCUAAUGUUGAGUGCUCUAAUCUAUAUCUAUACCUAAUAAUAAAGGCACUAAGGUUUCUCCUUGUACGUCGUUUUUGGACGAUUUUACCCCUAUUAGUUCGGAGAAAUAUCAUAGACUGCCACCGAUAAGUGAGGCUCGUACCGGUUUGGCAUUUUUUCCCCUAGUCGUCUAUCGUUUUGGUCGGUGGAAGCGGAUGCAGGGCCGGACACAGAGGUGCCACCGGGGAGCUCCGCCGAGCAGUUAGAAGUCGGUCAGAGGAAGCGGACUUCAAAGAGGUAGGGCCGACGUGGAGGCUCCCGAGAAAGGGGCCCGGAAGAGGCGGAUGUCGAGGAGGCAAGGCCUCCCGAAGGGAUUUGUUGGAUGUGGACAUCGCCCAUCGCUGCUGGGCCUCGCCACCGGGGCAAGCUCCUCGUGUGCGGCAGGAGAACGGCGGGCGGGAUUGGGAACAUAGGGAGGGGUGCGCAGCUUGGGAUUGUGGGGCGGUUAUUUGCAGGGAGCCAGCGACUGCGGCAUCAAGCCAGAUCCGGUGGAUCUCCGUGAGGCAAGCAACGACAUUGAGGGAGACAGCAAAGGUGACAUUGAGGGGCUUGAUGCCGUUUGCCUCUCUUCUGUGUCCGGAC
rnacentral:lncRNA from 1 species